UAGGCCGCCGCUGCCUCCUCUCCUCCUUCUCCGCACAGGCGCGCGGCCCCGUCCUCCCCCAACCUGUUCGCUGGCAGCCCCUAGCGCCAGGUCCUCCGUUUCCCCCAGCGAGGCCGAGGUGAUAGCGCGGCGCGCAAGCCCGUCCUUCCCAACCUGGUCACCGGCCAGGCUCUCCGUCUCCCCUCAGCGAGGCCAAGGUGUGGUGGUGCGGCACGCAGCUCCAUCCUCCCCAACCUGGUCGUCGGCCAGCCCCUAGCGCCAGGCCCUCCGUUUCCUCUCAGCGGGGACGAGGUGCUAGCGUAUACAGGGAAUUCCCGCACACAGCCGCUGCGUUUCCUUACCCUGGCGGCACCUCUGUUCGUCAUGUAGAUCAGAAUCGAAGCCUCCUUGCCACGCCUGAGAUUUUGUGCGCGGUUAGGAGGGAGGGGAGCCUUUGUUUAUGUCCGUCUUGCUGAGUUCUUCUUGUUCGUUCCAUCUCUGUUAUGGUUCGUUCCGGUGCGCGUGCUUCCCAGCAUGUUCUCUCCACGUCGUUGGAUUCCUCUUCCUCGGUUGGUGUUGUUGAUGGGAGGUUUCUUGCCGAAGAUUUGGGUGCUGAUGAGGCGCGGCGACGACGCCAGGCACGGCAAGAUAUCCGUCGUGGGAAGCGUCCUGUUGAUUCAUCGUCUGUUGGAAGGAACUUUCGGCCUGUACUUGAAGAAUGGAUUGAUCCUUGUCUUGUUGCUGUUAGAGUUGCAUCUGAUGUGGAAGUUUUGUAUUGUCCCUAUUUUACUGCUGGUUGGUUGUCUGGUUCCUCGCGUACAUACCUGGUCAUGUCCAGCCCACACGCCAGCACGCUCUCGCUCAGCCCAGGUCAGACCUGUCUACCUUGCCGCGCCCAGGUUACACUGAUGUACUUGUGACUACCCACAUCUGUAGCUGCCUGACCAAUUAGUCUACUAUAGCGCACUGUAGCUGUGCCUGACCAAUUAGUCCACUGUAGCCCGCAUGCUGUUGUGCAGCUUUCUCCAUAAAUCAUAGCAAGGUCCGCCUCCUCCUACUUCUGCCCACCCGUGAACGUAUCAACAAGGCAAAUAAAAGAUGCAAAUGACUAUGCAUUGUAAUUAAAGAUAUAUUUCUGGACUAGACAUGCAUAGACUGCUUUGCGCAGACCUCAGACAUGCAUGUGUAGAGUACAGUCAUCUUUUGCAUGUUGUGCAAUACGUUGUCCCACCGAGGACGGCGGAAGCACGUCUCUGAUUACUAGCCAAGUGUUCUACAUGCAAGCGGUCUACCAUGGCGAUGGCAUGCACGGGACGUUUUACGGUUACUGCACGGGACGAUUUUUACAGCUCCUGCAUGCAAACGAUCUACCAUGGUACGACACGCAUGCAGAUGACAGUAGUUCUACAGUAUAUACGGCCAGUUACUAUAUAAAGAGGCCGGUCCAUGCUAUAGGUUCACACGCUUCCAAAUUUUUACAGCGUGUCUGAAUAAACUAUGGUGCCUUGAGACACUUUGCCACUAUUCUGACUAACGGUAGGCAUGCUUUUGGAGAGAUAAGAUUACUAAAUCCUUUUGUUCUUCGGUCAUCUUGCUUUCAAACUUGCUGAUGCCUUGUGGUUUCGUUUAUUUUGUUGCCAUUUCUUUUCAGGUAUUUCUAUUCUGAUGGACGACGAACUUUCUUCCACCAACGAUGUGGGCUUCCAUCGCCCAAACGCAGAAAAAUGUUUCAUGGGAGCGAUCCAGCUUGCAACCCGUAGUUGCGUGCCUCUCCAUCGUAAUUACAUAGUCACCCCAUGUUCUCCCUCUAAUGCUCUUCCGUCUCCGCAUGUACUUGCUGCUCUCAUCGGUAGGUUCACCAGGCACUACAAGCUAUCCUUCCAUGAUGUCACUGACAAUAGGAUUGUCAUGACCUGCACCCACCACACCACUGGAAACCGUGUCUACAAUCUCUCUAGAAGCCACUCCACUAUUAUUAUCCAAGGUGUCCGCUAUAGAUUUAUGGUAGAUGACGCACUGCUCCAUCUAGGAAGAAUCUCUACCAAUCAGUACAUUAUUAUCUCAAUGAGAAAUCUGCCACUUCAUCUGUGGAAGAGCAUCAUAGUAGAGCAAAUCCUCAGUCCAUAUUGCUCCUUAGAUUAUGUCACACAGGACUCACUCUUAAUACAAUAUCCAUCCACUUUUACAUGCUAUGCGUGGGCCAGUCCAUCCAUCGCGGUGCCUCCAACCAUACAAGUGAACGUGUCCGACGAGGAUGCGUACACCGCAGACCAACAGAUGGCCUUCUUUAGCGCAUAUAAUGUAAAUCUGUUCAUCAGCGAGUACAGAAUCGGGGCCCACCCAGUGAAACAGCCUUACUGCCCAACCGUGUCAAUAACCAGUUCUGGAAGCAAACCAAUCCAAUGCUUUAUUUCCCAGAGGUUUAUCGAUCCCGCCCAGAUUUAGAUUUUGUCUAGCAUGGUCAUUUUUUCACCGCAUGCUGAAACCUAUUUCUCAUCCUUUGAUAGUCUUGUGACUUAUCUGGGUGAUAUAAGAUACAUCAAAAUUAAAGCCAGAAGGCUCACGUCGUCAGAUUUUUUGCUAUCAACCUCCAUUCCUCUCACGGGUCGCUCGCUCUAUCACACUGUACGUACCAUAUUUGAAGCUGAGAUCCGUGCUGGUGAGGUUGACAUCUAGCCAUGGACACCAGCAUUUGGAUCAUUUGGGUUUCCAAUCAAUUGCACAGUCGAGCUCAGGAUCCAUGACAUGCCAUGCAGUUUUUACACGGCUCCAAUAAUCGAGUACCUUCUUAGCCCGUAUUGCAUGGUGAAGCAGCACAAGACUGUUAUUGAUGAUCCAUUAGAGGACCACUGGGAGAACAUCGUCUCAUCCUACGAUUGCACUGCUUGGUGUGAGGACGCGAGGUUCAUCCCACACCAAAUCAAGAUGAGACAAGUGCCGAUCAAGCUACUAGACAUGACUGAGCCUUUUAUGGUGACAUGCAUGCAAUUCAGAAAGAUGGAAGCGUCCAUCAAGGCAUGGAUCAACUAAACAAGUAGCUGUCAUCAGAAGAUGUGCAAGUUGGGACUUCGUAAAAAUAAGUGCUGCGUGUUUCUCUUUUUUAACCCCUUUUAGCAGUAAGUAACUAGAUGUGCUGUAAAAUCUACUACCUGUAUUGUGAUUUACUCUUGUGCAAGUUGGAACUCUCUCUCUCUUUUUUACCUCUUUUAGCAGUAGUAACUAGAUGCGUUGUAAAAGCUGGCCACCUAUAUUGUGAAUUACUCAUUGGUUUCUCCUAGCAGCGUAAUCUAAGUUUAUUGUGUGUACUGGCAAAUGCAUGCA